GUAAAAACUCUGACAAUAUCUAGAGCAUCACUGUUAGGAACUCAAAUUAUCAAGUUUUCUCUUCUAAUUUUUCUGYCAAAGAAAGUUCUGAUUCACCAGAUCUUUAAGGAUAGUUAUUAAGCAGAUUAUUUUUUAAGAGAUGGUAUGAAUUUCGUGUAUACUUGUGCCACUGGCUUUGUUCAUUUGGCACAAGUUUAUCCAGCCUUUAGUCGAUCGAUGGUAUGGACCGAAAAAAAUGAUCGAAGAUUCGUCGAAAAAGAAGGAAAAUGUAGGGACUGAAGAAGUGAAAGGAAGCACCAAGAACAAGAUACCCACAGCUGGUAAUGGCAUACCUUUAACAACCAAUGGGCAUGUAAAGAGUGAAUAGCACUUCUUCUCAACUAUAUCGCAGAUGACUGCCACAAUCAGACAUGAUAGUAUGAAGACUUUURGUGAAAUCCUGUGCCGACUGCGAGUGCCAAGAGUUAGAUGUCGAUGAUCAUUCUGGUUGUUUAGCAGUCAUAGGGUUCAUAUGAGAACUUAGCAUGGCAGAUUUGGGAGUGAAUUUUUAUCUACAAUUCCAUCAACCUAUUUAUUGAAUUUUUACAUAAAUGAAUGGUUUCGUAAAUGCUUCUUGAAUUACUGGCAACUCCAAUAUUUUGUUAUUGGUCAUAAAUCGAAAGAGUUAAGAAAUAUUUCUGGAAUGAAUAAUUAUAAAUCUAUGAUCUACCUGGAUAUCUGUAAAAUAUAGUUAUGUAUGACUAUAAUUGAUUGUAAUGAAAUGUAACUUCAAACCCUUCAAGUGUUAUYGAUACCCAGAAACAUAUAUUAAAAAUAAACUUGUUCAGGAAUAUAA